rnacentral:rRNA from 1 species
UAUUUUAAUGGCCGCAGUAUUUUGACUGUGCAAAGGUAGCAUAAUCAUUAGUCUAUUAAUUGUGGACUUGUAUGAAUGGUUGGACGAAAUAUUAUCUGUCUCAUAUUUAUUAUUAAAAUUUAAAUUUUAAGUUAAAAUGCUUAAAUUUUUUUAUUGGACGAGAAGACCCUAUAGAUCUUUAUUUAUUUAAAUUAUUAUUUUUUUGUAUUAUUUAUAAUUUUAAAUUUUUUUUGUUGGGGUGACAUAAGGAUAUAAUUAACUCCUUAUAUAUUUUAAUCAUUUAUUUAUGUUUUUAUGACCUUUUAUUAUUGUUAUAAGAUAUAGAUACCUUAGGGAUAACAGCGUAAUUCUUUUUGAGAGUUCAUAUCAACAAAAGAGAUUGCGACCUCGAUGUUGGAUUAAGAUUAUAAUUAGGUGUAGGUGCUUAAUAAUUAGGUCUGUUCGACCUUUAAAAUCUUACAUGAUCUGAGUCA